AACGAACGCUGGCGGCAUGCCUAACACAUGCAAGUCGAACGAAGCCUUCGGGCUUAGUGGCGCACGGGUGCGUAACACGUGGGAAUCUGCCCUUUGGUUCGGAAUAACAGUUAGAAAUGACUGCUAAUACCGGAUAAUGACGUAAGUCCAAAGAUUUAUCGCCGAAGGAUGAGCCCGCGUAGGAUUAGGUAGUUGGUGAGGUAAUGGCCCACCAAGCCGACGAUCCUUAGCUGGUCUGAGAGGAUGAUCAGCCACACUGGGACUGAGACACGGCCCAGACUCCUACGGGAGGCAGCAGUGGGGAAUAUUGGACAAUGGGCGAAAGCCUGAUCCAGCAAUGCCGCGUGAGUGAUGAAGGCCUUAGGGUUGUAAAGCUCUUUUACCAGGGAUGAUAAUGACAGUACCUGGAGAAUAAGCUCCGGCUAACUCCGUGCCAGCAGCCGCGGUAAAGUAUCGU
rnacentral:rRNA from 1 species